rnacentral:rRNA from 1 species
UACGUAGGGGGCAAGCGUUGUCCGGAAUUAUUGGGCGUAAAGAGCUCGUAGGCGGUUUGUCGCGUCGAAUGUGAAAACCCGGGGCUCAACCCCGGGCCUGCAUUCGAUACGGGCAGACUAGAGUUCGGUAGGGGAGUCUGGAAUUCCUGGUGUAGCGGUGAAAUGCGCAGAUAUCAGGAGGAACACCGGUGGCGAAGGCGGGACUCUGGGCCGAUACUGACGCUGAGGAGCGAAAGCGUGGGGAGCAAACAGG